rnacentral:rRNA from 1 species
GACGAACGCUGGCGGCGUGCCUAACACAUGCAAGUCGAACGGAGAAUUAGCAAUAAUUCUUAGUGGCGAACGGGUGAGUAACGCGUAAAUAAUCUGCCCUUUAGCUGGGGACAACAGAUCGAAAGAUCUGCUAAUACCGAAUGUUGUUUAAGAAACGCAUGUUUCUUAAACUAAAGGUGGCCUCUGAAUAUGCUACCGCUAAAGGAUGAAUUUGCGUCUGAUUAGCUAGUUGGUGAGAUAAAAGCUCACCAAGGCAACGAUCAGUAGCCGGUCUGAGAGGAUGAACGGCCACACUGGGACUGAGACACGGCCCAGACUCCUACGGGAGGCAGCAGUGGGGAAUCUUCCGCAAUGGACGAAAGUCUGACGGAGCAACGCCGCGUGAGUGAUGAAGGUUUUCGGAUCGUAAAACUCUGUUGUUAAGGACGAAUGUAUAGAUUGUGAAUAAUGGUUUAUAAUGACGGUACUUAACGAGGAAGCCACGGCUAACUACGUG